UACGGAGGGUGCAAGCGUUAUCCGGAUUCACUGGGUUUAAAGGGUGCGUAGGCGGUGCGGUUAAGUCCGCAGUGAAAUCUCUGGGCUCAACUCAGAGUCUGCUGUGGAAACUGCCGUGCUCGAGUGUGGGAGAGGUGAGUGGAAUUCCCGGUGUAGCGGUGAAAUUCGUAGAUAUUCGCAAGAACACCAGUGGCGAAGGCGGCUCACUGGCCCGAUACUGACGCUGAGGCACGAAAGCGUGGGAGCAACAGG
rnacentral:rRNA from 1 species